UACGUAGGGUGCGAGCGUUGUCCGGAAUUAUUGGGCGUAAAGGGCUCGUAGGCGGUUUGUCGCGUCGGGAGUGAAAUCCACUGGCUUAACUGGUGGCUUGCUUUCGAUACGGGCAGACUGGAGGUAUGCAGGGGAGAACGGAAUUCCUGGUGUAGCGGUGAAAUGCGCAGAUAUCAGGAAGAACACCCGUGGCUAAGGCGGCUCUCUAGUACGGUACUGACGCUGAGGUGCGAAAGCGUGGGGAGCAAACAGG
rnacentral:rRNA from 1 species